ACGCAUAGGGGAAAAACGGUCUUCCGUUUGUGUUAUCGUGCGUGUAAUGGGGGUAUAUAAUACGACGAUCCGAGGAUUAAAGGAUUUGAUGUUGAGAGGAGAUAAUACAUAAUAAUAUAAAAGUAAUAGGAAGAAAUGACAUAGAAAGUCGGCAACUAUCAGUUGAAAACGACUGUAUAUUAUUAUUAUACCGACGUAAUAUG